rnacentral:lncRNA from 10 species
CCUGAAAAAGGGGUGGAUAAUUCCUGAAACUGAGGGUUCCUCCCCUUUUUAGACCAUAUGGGGUAACUUCCUGAUUCAUGAUAAUUGUCCUAGUACAGUCUCUUCCUCUCUCUCACUAUGCACUGACUUCUCAGGCACCUGGGACCACGUCUCACACUCGUCUUUAAGCCUUGCAAUGGCUGCACAGUGCUAGGCACUGGAGGUU